CUUCAAAGUGCCUGCAUGUUUGUGAUCAGUUUUUGUCAAACGUUUGAGGUAUAUUCGAUAUUAAAAAUAUAUGGAAACCAGUUACAAAUGGAUUAACUCAAUAUGAGCCUCAGGAAAACAUUACGUUCCCGAUUCAAGGGAGAUAAAUCUGAAGAGAAGAAUGCUUCAAAAGGUUCGAGAGACAGAAGUUUCAGUGAUUCCAGUGGAAAAGAUGAGCUGUUUGAGAUUGUUGAUUCGGAGAAGGAGGAUGAGAAGCUACUAGAUGGAAGUCAUCACGCGUCUGCCGACAACAGUGUCCAGCACUUCGAGGACCGUCUUGUGUUUGAGCAGCAGCUUACACAGCUUCAGGAACAACUUGUUGGUGUGAUGAUAGAAAACCAGAAUUUACAAACUGAGUUGAACCAGUUCAAGGAAAGUAGUUUGUUAGACAAACUGAAGCAAGAACUAGAAUACGAGAAGAAAAAAUGUGUGCAUCUUGAAACCAAAUGCAAAUCUUUGUUGAAAAAAAAAAAAAAAAGAAAGAGCAACACCCCAGACUCUGACAGUGGCCAUGACAAACCGAAGAGCAGUGAUUCUGGCAGUGUUACAACUGAAGAUGCUGUGGAGGAUGAAACAGAUGCUGCUCCUAUAGACAAGAAACCCGUUGACGUGAGCAAGCAGUCGAUAUUUGAUCGAGUGUGGGAGGCCAUUAUGAGGGUUGUGUAUGAGUUUCUGGAUGAUUUCACAGAAGCACCGGAUAAUGAACAAAACGAGGAGCAGGAAGCAGACGCGCUUUCUCCCACGAAGUUAAAAGACAACAUUAAGAGAUUUGGUGCUGCCUGCAAGCCCUAUGUGAACACUGUGAAAGGCUUUUACCAUCUCGUCACGUGGAAAUCUCCACCGUACACUCUUAUUGUUUUCAUUGUGUAUAUGUACUCAGUGUACAUGGGCUGGUUUCUACCUGUUGUUUUGUUCUGCUUUUCGUUCCGACUCUUCAUCAGCUACCUAAGAUACAGAGGUUGGAAUAUCAACUUUAAUUUCUUUGAUCCUGGAGAAGAACAAAAGGAUGCGGAUGACAACAAAGACUUGAAAGUAUCGGCAAAGUUCAGUCUGGUAUUGCUGGUGGCGAGGAAAGCACAGAAUAUACUUGGAUCUUUUGCUGACAGUCUGGAAAAAAUUAAAAACUUGUUGACUUGGCGUCAACCAUCUGCUACAAAAGAGAUCUUCUUUAAACUUAUCUGUGCCAGUAUCUUCUCAGUGAUAUUCCCAGCAAAUUACUUGUUUUAUAUUGCAGGACUAUAUUUUGGGAUCAAGUUAUUUAUCAUUGACUACCUGUUUCUGCGGUUUCCACGUUUGAAGCAGAAAUAUGACUCCACCCAUAAGAUAUGGCUCUCACUUCCGACUGAUGCAGAGUUUGAGAAACAACAGUUGAAGUCGGAGAUUGACAAGUACAUUCUUCCCAAGAGAGAUAACUCUGCUGAACAGGAGACUGAUGGGAUAUUUGGGUUGUCCUCCGAAGACAGGACAUUUUGUGAACUCUUCUCCCUUCCCCUUGAAGAAUGUCCACUUUCAGACUGGCGUGGUGGGCGUCGCUGUACCUUGAUUAACCGGGAUAAAUCUUUACCAUCAGCUUUUAAAAACGGAAAGCUUUUUCUUACAAGAAGGCAAAACCCUAUUCCUGGAUGCCUGGUGGAGGGAUGGCUAUUGAAAUUGCAGUACAGGGAUCAGAUAAGACAACCAUAUUUGGAGCAAUAUUAAACCGAGAUGAGGUGUUUGAAAGUAUUAUCAAAGCUGGAAAGUCAGCUGGUCUUCAGUGGGCUAGUCAUUCGGAUUACUCAUAUAUUGAUACAACUUGAUUGGUGCAUAUCACAUGGUGGUGUGCUCAAAAGAGGUGGAAUUUUUUAUGUUAUUUUUGUUCACAAUGUAUUCUAAGAGGUCUCGCAAACUACCAGCAAACUUUCAUGAAGAUACUUAAUUCAGGUUCUUUUGUACCAAAUAUUUGAUCAGAGAAAUCCAUGCAGGCCUUUCUACAGUUUCGUUUGAUGAAUUACACAUGCAUAUUGUACAAUAUUUAGGGCUACUUAGUGGUUGUUCAGUUAUCUACUAUUUCAUGAGUACAAACUGUAGUCUUUAGAGUGUUUUGGUACCUUCCUCCCCCUCCUGAAAGCAUGUACAUAAAACAAUAUUAGAUUUUCUAAGGAAUAUUUUAUCAACAUUUGUUUUGUUUUUUCAACUGUACAUGUAUGUUAGCAUUACCCCUCUUUCGCCUAACAUAUGGUUUGUAUGCUUGUGAAAAUGUAGAUAAUGUAAUAGUCCUUUAUUUCUACAGUUAUAGCUAUAGUUAUAGCAGGUGUCUAAAUUUGUAAAUGUAAUCAAUUUUACCCUGUAACCAGUUUGUAUUGGCAGAAUAACAUACGACUUUGUAACUUCACAUACUUGUGUGCAUCACAUCAACAGAUCCAGUAAAGUACUCUUGUAACGAACCGGAAGGGACCAUGAUAGUUAGUUUGUUAUAGCAGUAGUUCGUUGUACACAUCUGUAUAAAUUGGUCAUUAAUGUAUAGGGAGAUAAAACAGGACUUUACGAUCAGUCCAUUCUAUGCAGUAGUUCGUUCUAAGCAUGUUCAUUAUAAGUGUACUUUACUGUAUAUCACAAAAACAUUCACUUAGGUGCUUGUACACAGUGUAGCUGAAUUUGUUUUUUUUCCUCUCAAUGUUUGAUGAAUGACAGGAUAAAAAUAAUAACCAGUUUAAUUGUGUAGAAUAUCGGCUUUAUCCUAUUCAGGAUAAAUGGUGAAUUCCUCUUGGCAAACCUCGCAAUAUUCUCCAUUCUUACCAUCACGGAAUAAAGCUAAUUUUUUACAAACCUGUUGGUAAGAACAUCAUUUGUUAGCUGAUCAAGUACAUUUGCAUUGGUCCAUCUCCAAGUAAGAUUUUAAACUUUUCUUUUCAGUUAGGGUAGCCAGAUGCAUUUGAAGAUUACUAUAUGUUUAUAAAUCAAGAGUUCUUUUCCAAAACACGAUAUAUACAACUCAGCAUUAUGACAAUAGAGUUUUCUCAAAAUGCUAUCUAUGUGCAUUAAACAGAAUAUUAAAACUAUAUAUACUUCUUCCUAUGAUAUACACUGUCAUGUUAUGUCAUGUUUCAAUAAAAACACAUUUUUUUCUCAAAAUCACUUAAAUGGAUAUAUCACAUUUUGGACAUGAAUUCUUCAAAUAUAUAUGACAUGACUAUAUGCAAAAAACUUUGGGCUGAAUUUACAAAGCCUGUUUUAGACUUACAUGUGUGUAACUACUUACAUUUACAAUGCUUAAACACUCAUGUUUAAGGAAUACAGGCUUCAUGAAUUUGGCCCUUUGUGUUUGCCAAAAAUUCAAUUCAGUGUUGUAAGAUGACCAAAACUUGAAGACUUUUAGUUGUUUUAUACAAAUAAUUUUGGACAGUUACUAGAUGGGAUAUAUAUAUGCUGAUUUAUGUUUGGAAAGUGGCCUUCGUUGCAAGUUACAGUUAUAUAGAAUUUUUAUCUUGCCUUAAGUCAAAGUAUUACUUAUCUGAUGGUGGCAGAUUUUUGUGUUUCUGCAUAUUGCUGCAUUUUUCACAAACUGUAAAUCCUAGAAUAAUAAACAUGUUUGUGGUUGCAACCAUGUAUGUUAAUAGCAAUGAAUGCUAAAAAAAAUGUUUUAAUUUAUUAAAUAAAAUAAAAUUCAUUUAUUUAAAAUUUAAUACGGGUAAUUUAAUUUUUAGAUUAAUCAUGAAUUUUACAUCACAAAUUAUUUCAUGUAUAAAAUUAAUCAAAUGUUAUCUUUUUAACAUUCAUUGAGAUGUACAUCUAUGGAUUUGAAUCAGUUUAUAGUGGUAAAGCCCCGGUCACACUGUCAAGGAUCGCCUGGAUGAAAACCUCAUGGAUGAUCCCGGAUAGUGGUCUAUCCGCAGUUCCCUACGGAUGCACCAUGGUUUAACUACGGUUAAACCAUGGACUAUUAAGGAUAGGGGUUAGUUGACAACGGGGAUCGCUACGGGUCGCUACGGGUUGCUAUGGAUAGCUAAGGAUUGGUACAGUUCAGUACGGACCACAACAGAUUGUCACGAAUGAUGCCGGAUCAUAUCCAUGGCUAACCCGGCAUCCUGAUUCUUGACAGUGUGACAGGGGCUUAAGACGUUUAAUUCUGUGGAAUUCUUGUUUUAUGAUGUUCUGCCUUUUUUAUAAAUAAAUAAAAAAUGUGUGGUAUGCCAUAUAUAUCAGGGAUCUAUAUAAGCUCAGCAUUUGUUAGCCAAUCAGUUAACACUAUUAAUUAUAUUUUUAGAGCCAAACAAUGCUAUAAUAUUUUUAUUAUCACAUGUUUUGUAUGGUAAUUGUUUUAUGUGCAUACAACUUUGAUGCCAAAAGUCUGCAGACUUUGAUAUGUGGUUGUGACAUUUGAGUAUUAAUCGGAUUUUCAUGUAUUUUGAAGUGACUGAAAAAAAAUGUCUUCAUGUUUUUGUUCUUAUACACCCAUAAGUGUUGUUACUUAAUUAAUUAUCACAAUUGCAUGUUUGCUGUAUGAAAUUAUGAAUCCAUUGAGAAUUGUAUUUUAAUAAUGCAUAUAAAACAGGGAUGUGACGUUUUCAACAGU
rnacentral:misc_RNA from 1 species